UACGUAGGGGGCAAGCGUUAUCCGGAAUUACUGGGUGUAAAGGGAGCGUAGACGGUUAAGUAAGUCUGGAGUGAAAGGCCGGGGCCCAACCCCGGGACUGCAUUGGAAACUGUCGCGCUCGAGUGUCGGAGAGGUAAGUGGAAUUCCUAGUGUAGCGGUGAAAUGCGUAGAUAUUAGGAGGAACACCAGUGGCGAAGGCGGCUUACUGGACGACAACUGACGCUGAGGCUCGAAAGCGUGGGGAGCAAACAGG
rnacentral:rRNA from 1 species